rnacentral:rRNA from 1 species
UACGAAGGGGGCUAGCGUUGCUCGGAAUCACUGGGCGUAAAGCGCACGUAGGCGGACUCUUAAGUCGGUGGUGAAAUCCUGGAGCUCAACUCCAGAACUGCCUUUGAUACUGGCGAUCUCGAGUCCGGGAGAGGUGAGUGGAACUGCGAGUGUAGAGGUGAAAUUCGUAGAUAUUCGCAAGAACACCAGUGGCGAAGGCGGCUCACUGGCCCGGUACUGACGCUGAGGUGCGAAAGCGUGGGGAGCAAACAGGG